rnacentral:rRNA from 1 species
AAGUCAGAUGUGAAAGCCCGGGGCUCAACCUCGGAAUUGCAUUUGAAACUGGCAGACUAGAGUACUGUAGAGGGGGUAGAAUUUCAGGUGUAGCGGUGAAAAUGCGUAGAGAUCUGAAGGAAUACCGGUGGCGAAGGCGGCCCCCUGGACAGAUACUGACACUCAGAUGCGAAAGCGUGGGGAGCAAACAGGAUUAGAUACCCUGGUAG